UCCCUGGUGGCCUAGUGGUUAAGGACCUGGCAUUGUCACUGCUGUGGUGCAGGUUCCAUCGCUGCCCGGGGAA
rnacentral:tRNA from 1 species